GAUGAAGAACGUAGCGAAAUGCGAUAAGUAAUGCGAAUUGCAGAAUUCAGUGAGUCAUCGAAUCUUUGAACGCACAUUGCGCCCGCCAGUAUUCUGGCGGGCAUGCCUGUUCGAGCGUCAUUUCAACCAUCAAGCCCCCGGCUUGUGUUGGGGACCUGCGGCUGCCGCGGGCCCUGAAAAGCAGUGGCGGGCUCGCUGUCACACCGAGCGUAGUAGCAUACAUCUCGCUCUGGGCGUGCUGCGGGUUCCGGCCGUUAAACCACCUUCAUAACCCAAGGUUGACCUCGGAUCAGGUAGGAAGACCCGCUGAACUUAAGCAUAUCAAUAAGCGGAGGA
rnacentral:misc_RNA from 1 species